rnacentral:rRNA from 1 species
UACGAAGGGGGCUAGCGUUGUUCGGAAUCACUGGGCGUAAAGGGUGCGUAGGCGGCCGUGUAAGUCUGGCGUGAAAGCCCCGGGCUCAGCCCGGGAAGUGCGCUCGAAACUGCGCGGCUCGAGUGCCGGAGGGGAGAGUGGAAUUCCUGGUGUAGCGGUGAAAUGCGUAGAUAUCAGGAGGAAUACCGGUGGCGAAAGCGACUCUCUGGACGGCAACUGACGCUGAGGCACGAAAGCGUGGGGAGCAAACAGG